CAGCACCACUAGCACCGCCACCAGCACCACCAGCAGCAGAUGCACCACCACCACCACCACCUCCAGCAUCAGCAGAAGCACCGGCGAGAACAAAAAGGACAUCGCGAGACCAGAUAUUUGAAUGUCCAUGCAAUGGAAGAAAGAAACAUGGUCGCAAAUUCAUAGAUUGGUUGGAGUGCCCCACAUGCAAGCAGUGGUGGCACGAAUGCUGCAUUGUGUGGAGGCAUGAGGGAGUAUGUGCAAAAUGUUAAGUUGGCGAUGGAUUCUGAUUAGAAGAUGUUCCCACGCUUAUGGAUCCAAGUCAUGGAAAUUUUGAUAUAUUUACAUUACAUUAUAAGUUAAAAAGCAAUUUUUCUUGAAUUUUAUAAAAACAAACAUUUAACAUUAACUGUGUAAAUAUGUUACUAUUGGUGUAAAUAUACUCUGACUGAAAGUGCUACCACCUAGUAUUGGCAUUUAUUAAAAUGAUUGUUAUAGCCUCUGUCAUAGCAGCACUCACUAGUUUCAUCAGAAUAAAUAAAAUUAAUAGUUUAGAGUCAUGAGCAUUGUUAGUGAGUCACAAACGCGGUGUUAAUAGAUAUAAACACGUGUAGGCUUACACACGCACGCGCGCGUGGGUACAUGUUGCCUUCUCGGAUGUGGUAGGAACA